UACAGAGGACUCAACCGUUGUUCGGAUUCAUUGGGCGCAAAGGGUGCGUAGGCGGUCGUGUAAGUCGGAUGUGAAAUCCCGGGGCUCAACCCCGGAACUGCAUUCGAUACUGCAUGGCUAGGGUACUGGAGAGGAAACUGGAAUUUACGGUGUAGCAGUGAAAUGCGUAGAUAUCGUAAGGAAGACCAGUGGCGAAGGCGAGUUUCUGGACAGUUACCGACGCUGAGGCACGAAGGCCAGGGGAGCAAACGGG
rnacentral:rRNA from 1 species